CAGGGCGCAGCCGCGGAACAACUAGGGGGCGGAGCAAACACCUGGCCACACCGGCAGCUAAUCCCACAGACACCUAGUGCGUGCGCCCUGCCCAGUGAGGCUAGCGACUAUCUCAAGAGAAUAGCCAGCUGGCUGUAAACAUGGCUGAGAAUGAUCCAUCCUCAGAGCAGCAAAGGACCACAUGGACACUAAGCUCCUAAGGCACCUCGUAGAUACGUAGGAGCGGUGUGAGGAAUUUUGGAGAAGCAACUAUGUACCCUGGUUGGUCAGAAUUGUCCUCAACACAUUUUUUUCUGGAACACACAGGUUCCCCAUGCCACCAGGGAGUCCCCCUGGGGGCCAAGAUGAGGCUGAGGAGCUCCAGGAGACAUGCUCCUACCUAUGUCUAUCCUGUGACCCAAGGCAGACCCAUGGCUACUUCUACAGUGAGUUAUCAAUUGGAAGACUGCUUCCCUGACCCUAUGGCUGGCUGGCUGUUUGUGCUGGGCCCUGUGUUCCCUUCUUCCUCAGCACCACCGCUGCGUCUCAGGUGUUCCCUGAACACCUGCUCAAGUCCACCCCAACUGUGAUACUUCAGUGGCACCUUAAACCUACUCAUUCAGACAUGAUCGUGUCUACCCAUGACUGCGGCUGCGGGAGGAAGGAGAGGAGGGUCACAGUCCUGUACAGAUCCCAGGGGACACCAUGCCUGCUUCUGGCCUCUGGCCCAGCUGAGUAGUGUCACCGCUUGGCUCCAGGCCACUCUGCAGACUCUCUGGACUUCGGCAGCUUCCUUCUCAAGGGCAGACGUGGGAGCUGUUUCGGAGGUGGCACAACCUUGAGUGUGUGUGAAGGCUGCUGCACACAGCAAAGUUCUGCCCCUGGUGUGAGGAUUGGGUGGAGGGAACAGGGGAAAUGAGCAGUAAAUGAGGGCGCUUGAGGAUGCUUCUGUUCUGGAAACUAUUCAGAGAUCCUUUCAGGACUAGUUUGCAAACCAUGGGCACCAGUAACUAUCACAGUGGGAGAUAGGGCCUUAGCCAUAUCAAAUCUUUGUCCAGCUCCUCCUGUGAGCCAGUGCUCAUUCAGUCCUUAUCUGCCCAUUCAUUCAUUCAUAUUCAUUCAUUCAUUCAUUCAUAUACAUUCAUUUACUCAUUCAUUUAUUCACUAAUUCACUGAUUCAAUCAUUCAUUCACUCCAAUUUUUUUUCAUUCUAUCAUCAUGCAUCCUUGGAGCUGCCCUGUAUUGAGGCAGACACAUCUGAAAUACAAAUGACUCAAGCACAAAAUGGGUUCCUGUCUGGUCAAUGUCCAGUGUGGGGAGUGCCCCAAACCCUCUCCAUCUUGCCCAUUCUCUGUGUGUCCCUGAGAGAAGGUGGGCAGAGCUUAGUGGGGAUGGCUACUUUAAGGGAUGUUAGAUGUUCACAGAGCAUUUUCCCCUGUGAAGUCUGUCAUGUUUCAGUACACAUUUCAGUUUCAUAAUAAAUAGACGGAUGCUCAAAUAUUGCAUUGCUUCUCCCCCAAUGAUAGACUUUGUGUAAUUAUUUCUGUCGUCAACCUGAGUUGACACAGUAAUUGGGAAACCAGCUGGAUACUGUUCAUAAGGAAAGUUAAUUAAUUAAAUUUUAAACUAUUUUUUAUUCCCUUCCUUUUUUAAAAAAAUGGUUAAAACUAAUUAAUAUAUGUGUAUGAUAAAUUUUAAGCAGGAUAAAGGUGAUAAAAAAAACUGGAGACAAUCUUUCUCUGCCCUAUCUUACACAUGUAGUCUUUCAGAAAAUGAUUUUCA
ensembl:lncRNA